AGGGAACUUAGUCAUGGGUUUCUCAUGCUCUAAAAAGUCUUCAGUUCCAUCACUGGGGAUCUCCCUAAGGUAUUUGAGGUAGUGCCAAUCGUUUUCCCGAGAAUGUGUACCAAUGUGACUCCCACCUCAAGACAGCCAUGUAGGAGGAUGUCCAUUUCUCUAUGUUGGUGACAAGUUAUGAGAAGAAGCCCAUCUUCCAAAUUUAAUAAUAAUGAAAAAGGAUGAAGAAGGCAAGCGGAAAGUUCCACACUUCAUCCACAUUCUGCAAACAAGGAAACGAGGUUCUCUGGGGUCGCUGAGGUUCAGGGACUUACCCAAGUCCCACUUGUCCAACUGCACUGCUGGUUUUCAAACUGUGUUCCCUAGAAGCACCAUAGGGGUCCCUGGGGUGGGGAGUGGGGGGAAGGGCAGAGGACCAGAUCCACACGGGGUCACAGUGGGCAGGUGGGCUCCAGGGGAUUCUGUAAAAGAUUUCAUUUGGAAAAGGGAUUCUGAUGCUUAAAAAUAAAUUUGAA